rnacentral:rRNA from 1 species
GACACGGCCCAGACUCCUACGGGAGACAGCAGUUAGGAAUAUUCGUCAAUGGAGGGAACUCUGAACGAGCAAUGCCGCGUGAAGGAUGACGGUCCUUUGGAUUGUAAACUUCUGUUGUUAGGAACGAAAAACUUAAGUAGGAAAUGACUUAAGCUUGACGGUACCUUUCAAGAAAGCUCCGGCUAACUACGUGCCAGCAGCCGCGGUAAUACGUAGGGAGCGAGCGUUAUCCGGAUUUAUUGGGUGUAAAGCGUGUGUAGGCGGUUACUUAAGUCUGUGGUCUAAGCCUGGAGCUCAACUCCAGUUCGCCAUGGAAACUGAGUUACUUGAGUAUGGUAGAGGCAAGUGGAAUUUCUAGUGUAGCGGUGGAAUGCGUAGAUAUUAGAAGGAACACCAGUGGCGAAGGCGGCUUGCUGGGCCAUUACUGACGCUGAGACACGAAAGCGUGGGGAGCGAAUAGGAUUAGAUACCCUAGUAGUCCACGCCGUAAACGAUGGAUACUAAGUGUCGGAGGAUCCGGUGCUGAAGUUAACACAUUAAGUAUCCCACCUGAGUAGUACGGUCGCAAGGCUGAAACUCAAAGGAAUUGACGGGCACCCGCACAAGCGGUGGAGCAUGCUGUUUAAUUCGAAGAUACGCGAAGAACCUUACCUGGGCUUGACAUCCCAGUGAAAGCUUUUGGAAACAAGAGCCCUCCCUUCGGGGACACUGGUGACAGGUGGUGCAUGGUUGUCGUCAGCUCGUGUCGUGAGAUGUUGGGUUAAGUCCCGCAACGAGCGCAACCCUUAUCUUUAAUUGCUAACAUUAAGUUGAGAACCUUAAAGAGACUGCCGGUGACAAACCGGAGGAAGGUGGGGAUGACGUCAAAUCAUCAUGCCCCUUACGUCCAGGGCUACAGGCGUGCUACAAUGGCUAGUAUAAUAAGACGCGAUACCGUGAGGUGGAGCAAAUCUCUAAAGCUAGUCCCAGUCCGGAUUGGAGUCUGCAACUCGACUCCAUGAAGUUGGAAUCGCUAGUAAUCCCGAAUCAGAAUGUCGGGGUGAAUACGUUCCCGGGUGUUGUACACACCGCCCGUCACGCCAUGGGAGUCGAUAAUACCCGAAGUUGGUAGCCUAACCUUUUAGGAGGGGGCCAUCGAAGGUAGGAUCGGCGACUGGGGUGAAGUCGUAACAAGGUAUCCCUACCGGAAGGUGGGGAUG